CAGGGCAGCGGCGGCGGAAAGAAGUGGGUAAAAAUAGUGCAGGAGUGGAAGAUACUGCAGGACAGCUUGCCAGACACAAUCUAUGUACGUGCGUUUGAGGACCGUAUGGACCUGCUCCGGGUGGCGAUGGUGGGCGCGAGCGGGACGCCUUACCAGGACGGGCUCUUUUUCUUCGACCUGCAGCUACCGUUGUCCUACCCGGACGUGCCACCGCAGGUGUACUACCACUCCUUCGGUAACCGUCUGAACCCAAACUUGUAUGCCUCUGGCACGGUGUGCCACAGCCUGCUCAACACUUUCGGCGGCGAGGGCACCGAGGUCUGGGUGCCAGGGACGUCGAGCCUCCUUCAGGUGGCCGUCUCCCUCCAGGCCCUCGUCCUCAACAACCAGCCCUACUACAACGAGGCCAACUCCGAGCACCUGGUCGGCACGCCACGGGGCCACCGCCACGCGUUGCCUUAUAACGAGAACGCCUUCUUGCUCACUCUUCGGACCAUGCUCCAUCUGUUGCGCCGACCGCCGCGGGGCUUUGAGGGGUUCAUCAGGGACCACUUCCGCCGAUGCGGGAGAUGCAUCCUCGCGACGUGUGAAGCGUACCUGCAGGGAUGCGUGCCCGCCGAUCAUGGGAGGAUGGAGUUGUCGUGCUCCACCGGCUUAAGGAUCGCGCUUGACAAUGUCUUGCCCAGGCUCACGGCAGCGUUCACACAGAUUGGUGACGAAGGGAGCUGCUGCUGA
rnacentral:rRNA from 1 species